rnacentral:lncRNA from 1 species
GAGUAGGACACCAGGGCGUUCUCCUGCGCGUCAGCGUCCCGCGCAGACACCGUGAAGAUGUGGCAGCCCGGCGGGUUGUUCUCCUUCACGAACACCGUGUACUCGGACUGCGCGAACGCUGGUGCGUUGUCGUUCACGUCGGCCACCUCCACAGACACCCUGGCCGUGGCCCACAGUGAAGGCGAGCCCCCGUCCCGCGCGGUAACCACCAGCUCGUAGGCGGACACACUCUCGCGGUCCAGAGCUCUGUCCAGCACCAACGAGUAGUAAUUCUUGUAGGUGGACACCAGCUUGAAGGGGACGUGGGGCGUCAGGGAGCAGGUAACCUGCCCGUUGGCAUCUGCGUCUAGGUCGAUCACACUAAUCAGGGCAAUAACUGUCCCCAGUUGUGCGUCCUCUUUUACAGGAACCGAGAGCGUUUUGAUAGUCAACUGUGGAGCAUUGUCAUUUACAUCCACAACUUCCACAAGAAGUGUACAAUGACCAGCCAGGGGUGGGAAGCCUUUAUCGACAGCCUCGACUGGGAUCUUGUGUGCUCUACUUUCUUCAAAAUCCAUAUGUCCUAUCACUGUGAUUGCCCCACUUAAGGGGUCCAUGUGGAACUUGGAUUUUAUAUCUGGAGAAACAUCACUGGAGAAGGAGUAAAUAAUAUCCCCAUUCAAGCCUUCGUCUAAAUCUGAGGCAUUGGGGUGAAUCACCAGCGUUCCGAUAGAAACGUUUUCUGGUAAUUUCACCGUAUACAGGGUUCUGUCGAACACUGGGGCAUUGUCAUUGUUGUCCAGUACCGUGAUGAGUAAUUGAACGGUGCCAGUCAGCUCGGGUUUGCCUCCAUCGGUGGCCGUGAGCAAUAAAUGAAGCUCCGGAGUUUCUUCUCUGUCUAAAAGUUUCCGUAAUACAAGUCCAAGAGGUUUUACCUGCUGGUUGCUGGUUGGCACGUCCAGGAAGAAAUACUCAUUGGGGCUCAGUCUGUAAGUGAGCAGGGCGUUCUCCCCGAUAUCUGCAUCGGACGCGCCCUCUAGUGGAAACCGAGAGUCAAGCGGCCUGGAUUCCGCGAUGAACAGAUUCUUUUGUGUCGCUGGGAACACUGGAGGGUUGUCGUUAAUGUCCUUCACCUCCACGUCCACAUGGAAAACCUGCAGCGGCCUGUCUACGAUCACCUCCAGGUGGAUGCUGCACUCCGCGCUCCGCCCGCACAGCUCCUCGCGGUCGAUCCGAGAAUUCACAAACAAAAUGCCAUUCUGCAGAUUUACCUCCAGAAGGUCCCCGCGGCCUUUGGAAUCCAACUGGAACAGGCGCGGCACCAGCUCCGCCAGCUCCAGCCCCAGGUCCUGCGCGAUGCGGCCCACGAAGGUGCCGUGUUCGGCUUCCUCCGGGACGGAGUAGUGGAGCUGGCCGCUCCCCACCACCCACAUUGCGAGGAUCAGAAGCGAGAGCAGUAGAGGCUGACCCUCUGGAUCUCCUCGACUUGAGUAUAACAUUUCAAAUACUCAGUCUUCUUCUAAUUAGUGAAAAUUGCCUCCAAAUUAGAAGAAAUCAUCUGAUUUCGUCAGUCCCAUUCUGCUGUGUUCGCCAUCGUUCAGCACAGAGAGAGUGAAAAAGAAUUGAGCCUCUUUCCCAUGGGAAAAGGGCUGUAUUUGUCUGGAUUCAGAGAGAACAUCGCGGCAAAGAGUGACAUCACGUGGCCCAAAGUGUAAGUACAUAUUUCAUGAAUAAAAAUUUCACAGUUAUUCUGCAAAA